UACAGAGGUCCCAAGCGUUGUUCGGAUUCACUGGGCGUAAAGGGUGCGUAGGUGGUCGGGUAAGUCUGAUGUGAAAUCUCCGAGCUUAACUCGGAAUGGCAUUGGAUACUAUUCGGCUAGAGGGUUGGAGGGGGGACUGGAAUUCUCGGUGUAGCAGUGAAAUGCGUAGAUAUCGAGAGGAACACCAGUGGCGAAGGCGAGUCCCUGGACAACUCCUGACGCUGAGGCACGAAAGCUAGGGGAGCAAACAGG
rnacentral:rRNA from 1 species